GCAGCAGUAAGGAAUAUUGGUCAAUGGAGGGAACUCUGAACCAGCCAUGCCGCGUGCAGGAUGACUGCCCUAUGGGUUGUAAACUGCUUUUGUCAGGGAAUAAACCUUUCCACGUGUGGGAAGCUGAAUGUACCUGAAGAAUAAGGAUCGGCUAACUCCGUGCCAGCAGCCGCGGUAAUACGGAGGAUCCAAGCGUUAUCCGGAUUUAUUGGGUUUAAAGGGUGCGUAGGCGGUCCUAUAAGUCAGUGGUGAAAGACGGCAGCUUAACUGUCGCAGUGCCUUUGAUACUGUAGGACUUGAAUCUAUUUGAAGUGGGCGGAAUAAGACAAGUAGCGGUGAAAUGCAUAGAUAUGUCUUAGAACUCCGAUUGCGAAGGCAGCUCACUAAGUUAGUAUUGACGCUGAUGCACGAAAGCGUGGGGAUCAAACAGGAUUAGAUACC
rnacentral:rRNA from 1 species